rnacentral:lncRNA from 1 species
GAGUUUUGUUUUGUUGGGCUUUUUGUUUUGUUUUGUUGUGAGACAGGGUUUCUUCUGUGCAGUCGUCCUGGAACUUGCUUUUUUUGCCAUGCUGGCCUCCAACUCAGAGAUUGGUCUGCUUCUGCCUCCCAAAUGUUGAGAUUCUCCUGAGUACUGGGACUAGAAGCAUGUGCUACUAUCGCCCGGUAAAAAUUUUAAUUUUUAUAGGUACACAUUCCCAGAAAUUUACAAUGACUUGGAUUUAUACAGAUCUGUGCUUGAAAAGUUGACCCACAGAUUAACUAGCCUUGAGACUAGGUGUAGGUCAGAAGACAACUUGUGUUGCUGGUUCUCCCCUUCUACUAUG